ACGGGAGGCAGCAGUGGGGAAUAUUGCACAAUGGGGGAAACCCUGAUGCAGCGACGCCGCGUGAGUGAUGAAGUAUCUCGGUAUGUAAAGCUCUAUCAGCAGGGAAGAUAAUGACGGUACCUGACUAAGAAGCACCGGCUAAAUACGUGCCAGCAGCCGCGGUAAUACGUAUGGUGCAAGCGUUAUCCGGAUUUACUGGGUGUAAAGGGAGCGUAGGUGGUUUGGCAAGCCAGAAGUGAAAACCCGGGGCUCAACUCCGUGGAUUGCUUUUGGAACUGUUGAACUAGAGUGCAGGAGGGGUAAGUGGAAUUCCCAGUGUAGCGGUGAAAUGCGUAGAUAUUGGGAGGAACACCAGUGGCGAAGGCGGCUUACUGGACUGAUACUGACACUGAGGCUCGAAAGCGUGGGGAGCAAACAGGAUUAGAUACCCUGGUA
rnacentral:rRNA from 1 species